ACGUAGGUCCCGAGCGUUAUCCGGAUUUAUUGGGCGUAAAGCGAGCGCAGGCGGUUAGAUAAGUCUGAAGUUAAAGGCUGUGGCUUAACCAUAGUACGCUUUGGAAACUGUUUAACUUGAGUGCAGAAGGGGAGAGUGGAAUUCCAUGUGUAGCGGUGAAAUGCGUAGAUAUAUGGAGGAACACCGGUGGCGAAAGCGGCUCUCUGGUCUGUAACUGACGCUGAGGCUCGAAAGCGUGGGGAGCAAACAGGAUUAGAUACCCCAGU
rnacentral:rRNA from 1 species